CUUGGAGACUGAAAGUUGGACUCGUAGGUACUGAGCGUCUUGUUGUGGAGACCAGAUGCAAUGCCUGGGCCUCCUGCUCCAGCUCCCAUCCAGCCCUGGGUCAAAGCCUGCAGGCGAAGGACAGGACAGCAGAGUGAGCUCCAGGAUGUGGAGGAAGGAAGAUGAGAAAUAAUUCCCUGACUGGUGUCCCUUCCGUUUCGGGAUGAAUUGUCCUCCAGCUGCUCCUGAUUCCUGCGUUAAAGUCCUGGUGUGAUGGCUCACAUCUGUCAUCCCUGCACUUUGAGAGUUCUGGAGGCCACAAGUGUGAAAUCAAGAUGUCAGCAGUGCCAUACUCUCUCUGAAGUCUGUUGGAGAGAACUCUUCUUUGUCUCUCCCAGUUUCUGGUGGUUUCCAGCAAUCCGUGGCUUCCUUGGCUUGUCGUCGCAUCAUUCCAGUCUCAGUCAUCAUGCGGCCUCCUCACUAUGUGUCUGUCUGUGUUUACAUUUUCCUCUUCUCAUAAGGGCAGCAGUAAAUGGAUUAGGCAUGCUAGUAUAUCUUCUUCGCUUGAUGGCAUCUGCAGACUCUGUUUCCAAAUAAGGCCUUGUUCAUGGGUACUGGGGUUAGGACUUCAACACCUCAUUUCUAGUCUCCUAUAUCACCAUGAAGAAAGCUAUGCUAGAAAGCUAUGUCUUUGUUACUUAUACAAAGUGGUAUUGAUAAUAGCUACUUACUCAAAACUACUCAGAAUAAGAUCAGUUUCUAGCAUGACAGUAUGAGGAGCCGCCUGACCCACUCCUCCAGGUAAACUGGUAAAAACAGCCAUUUAAGGCUUCUGGAAAUAGUCCCAAGGAAAAACAGCAAAGGAAGGAACCUGUAUUCAAGAAAAUGUACUAAUUUGGUAGAAGAGGUGAAUCUGUGGGAUUUGAAACAAGACCACUUCUUUCCUCCCCACUCCCAGCUCAGCACGGUGGCAAUUUCCCUCCAGACAGCUACUGCUGAAACACAGGUCUCCUCUCCUCCCAGCACAGAGGGCCUCCUUCCAGGGAGGAGUAGGAUGGCAGUGUCCUUCAUCCUGCCCCCAGCUCCCUGUUGCUGAGGCUGUCUCAGAUGAAUGCAGUUGAGAGGUGGGGGCUGCCACCCCUACCUGCUACUCAUGGAAGGAGACUCUACCUUGGGUGUGACAUGCUGAGAAGACUGUGGCCCUGGUCACUUUUGCCCUGGCUCUUGAGGUGGUGUUUCCAUGCCAGAAGGCUCAAGUUAAGAAGACCACUGGCUAUCCCCAACUCCUCCACCAAGCACCCAGCCCCUAGGCAGGGGGUGUCACUCAGAGAAAAGCUUACCAUUGUUUCUACCCCCAGCUCCAGAGCUCUGGUUCAGAUAUUUUGUUGCAAGGUAGGGGAGAAGAAGCAGUUCAGAGAAAAAAAGGUAAUUCUUAAUCUCUUCCCAAGGGAACUGACUUCAUUUUCAACAGAGCUUGGAGAAAAUUAAGCCUAAGUAUGCUCUGAAAACACAGUGGAGGUUGUGGUGAAGGGCAAUUGGGAGAGGCUAGUUUGCAGGAGAGAACCCAGAAUAAACCACUGGGAAGGAACCCUUCUGGGGGUCAGAACAAAUAUCAAACACUGACCUCAGAAACUAUUCUUUCAAAGGAGCCACAGUUUAAUGGGGUUAGUUUGUGGAACACUUUAUGCCCCAGGAUAUUGUUGAAAACAAUAGGGCAAUUGGCCACCAAUUAAUGGAGCUUAACAGCUGGAUGUGGUUAGGGAAGUGCCAGAGAGCCCUAGCAAAACCACUGUCAUCCCAGCACGACUGUGGGCAUAUGCAAAGCUGAACCUCUUUAGGGAGCAAUAUGAGAGGCUUAACGCUUUGGGAGGGAAAAUAUACAGUUGACCUUUGGACAACACAGGUUUGAACUGCGUGAAUCCACCUAUACAUGAAUUUUUUUCCACCACUGCCAACCUUGAGACAAGACUGACCCCUAUUCUUCUCCCUCCUCUGCAGCAUACUCUACAUGCAGAUGUUGUGGAUAAAGAUCUUUAUGAUGAUCUACUUCCACCUAAUGAAUAGUAAAUGUAUUUUCUCUUCCUUAGGAUUUUCUUAAUAAUAUGCUCUUUUCUGUAACUUAUUUUACUGAAAGAGUACAGUAUAUAAUACAUAUAACACACAAAAUAUAUGUUAAUUGACUAGCUGUGUUAUCAGUGAGGCUCCUUCUGGUCAACAGUAGGCUAUUAGUAAAGUUCUGGGGCAUCAAAAGUUAUACACAAUUAUUUUACUGCAUAGGCAGUCAAUGCCCAUAACCCCUACUUUGUUCAAGUGUCAACUUUACUUCAUGAAAAUAAACCAGGCAGUCACUAAAAACAAUCAAUAAGCAAAUAACAAUAACAAGUCCUGAAGGAGGGAAAGACCAAUAUCCAGAGUCAGUAGAAUAUAUUAUCUAAAAUGUCCAGUUUCUCACAAAAAAUUACAAGGCAUGCAAACAAACAAGAAAGUAUAAUAUGAUCCAUACACCUGAAAAAAAGCAGAGAAAGAAACUAACUUUAAGAAUGAUAAGACAUAGGCUGAGUGUGCCUGUAAUCUCAGCACUUUGAGGGGUUGAGGUGGGAGGAUUGCUUGAGCCCAGGAGAGUGAGGCUAGGCAUCUAUCACACCACUGUGCUCUAGCCUGGGUGACAAAGUGAGACCCUGUC
ensembl:lncRNA novel transcript